GCCACACACACAAUCUCUGUCUCUCCAUCUCUCUGUGUGUGUGCGCCUCACUCUCUGUCUGUCUGUCUCUCUCUCUCUCUAUCGUCUUGUCUCUGCUAUCUCGCUGUGCACUUCUCUGUCUCUCUCCUCUUUCACUGUCUCUUUGGUCUUUGUGUGUGUGUGUGCCCCUCUCUGUCUCUGCCUCCCUCUGUGUGUGCUUCUGCCUUUCUCUCUCUCCGUCGCUCCCUGUGACCGUCGACCCCCCACCCCCUCUGCACCGCCCCUCCCCCCGCCUUUUCCUCCAUCUCUCUUACUCUCUAUCCGAGCCUCUCCACCCGCUCAGCAGGGAGCGUUGUGAGUUUCUUUCGAACAAAGUUUAAAGAUCUCUGUUUGAACCCAAGCCAUCCGCAAUCAGACUGCAUUUCUAAUCCCCCCCCCCCCGCCCUCUCUCUCUCACACACACACACACACACACACACAGUCUGUCUCUUUCUCCCUUUCAGUCAAUCCCCUUCCUCUCUUGGUCCUACUCAAGUCUUUUCCCACCCCCGACUCUGCCUCGGCGAUGAGUCCGCUGUCUGGAUCCCUUUUCCCAGGCGUGGGCUGAGGACCCAGCGGUUCGGCAGCGGGGAUCAUCGCACCACGCUCCCGGACCCCUACAACCUCCUGUUCUCCAGCGGCCUCCAGCAUAACCACCGGGCUGGGAGCAGGCAUCCGGGCUGCCGGAGCGCUCGCUGCUCAGUGGCUCAGCCCUGCGCCGCCUUUGCCGGGAGCGGGGAUCCGAGGUGGGAGAAGGCCUCUUCGCCCGGCUCCUGGGCACAGCUACCUGCCUGAACAGCUGCCUGGCACCGAGCCUGCGCUCCCCGAGCACCCGGCCGCGGGUCCGCGACGCCUUCCGGGGCUGAGUAGCCGAAAACUAUCUCCUACUGCAAGGGUAAGGACUGCCUGCAAAAUCUGAGAUUGGGCUUUGAAAGACAUCAACCUUUGCUUGCGAGAGAUAAUGGUAACUGCAGAUGCUAGAGAAUGCGAGAUAACAAUGUGUGGAGCUGGAUGAACACAGCAGGCCAAGCAGCAUCUCAGGAGCACAAAAGCUGACAUUUCGGGCCUCGACCCUUCAUGCGAGAGAACGUAACGUUUUUAAAGAAGAAAUUGCCCCAGUCAAACAAGAAGUCAAAAUAUUAAAUGAUCUGGCCAGUCAAUUAUCUCCGCUUGAUGUCUCUUUCUCUCCAAAGAUUUCUCACCAGCUUGAUGACCUAAAUAUGAGGUUGAAAUUUAUACAGCAGCAGGAGGUGAGGAGGCAGAGACUGCAACCCUGAGGUCACGGAGGGAAGGAAAAGAGGCUCUUACUUGGAGAUUGAGAAGCAGGAGAGGGCACAACCCAGAGGUUUGGGAGUGGAGAGAGGCUGCAAGUUGGAGGUCAAGCCACCAGACUCAGAGUACCUGUUGGGACCAUCCAAAAAUGACUGAACAUUUUCACUCAUUAGGUAAGUAGAUUGAUAAUAGGACUCUGGUUCUGUGCCACUGUCAGAUCAUUGCGACUCCAAAAGGUACCAAAGUAAAUUCUGGAUUCUAGGCAAAUAUACCUAUGUGUUUAGAUCUAUUUAGGUGCAUUCAUGUAGGCUAAAAAUACUUGAAAUAAUGUAUAAUUAGGAGUGACAGACAACAUCUGUGACAUUAAAUGAAAAACAAGAACAAAGAACUUUGGUUCAUAUUUCAGCUUCGACAGGCACUAAACAACUAAAAGCACUGUAUAACCAAUGAAGUAAGUUUUUGAAGUAUGUUUGUAAUGUCGGAAACACAGCAACAAAUAUAUGCGCAGAAGGCUUUCACAAACAGAACUGUAAAAAUGACCACUUACUUUGUGAUAUUGAUUGAAUGCUAAGUGUUGGCCAGAAUGUAGAUCCACUGAACUGAAUACAGGUGGUUUGUGGGUAAGAAAGUCUUAACCCUUUGGACAAACCUAAUUUUAUUUGUAAUUUAUUAGCAAUAACUGAAUUGUGCAGUUUAAGUUCAGAAGUUCCCAAUUUUAAGUGGAGUUUUAACAAAUUCACCUUUG